rnacentral:sRNA from 12 species
CCCAGUGUUAUAUCAAACGAAAGUAGUCUGGACGAAAUCGGACACGUUGAAUAGGGAA